rnacentral:lncRNA from 1 species
GCCGCGUAUUCCGGCCGUUUGGCCGGGAUUUCGGUUUCGAUUUGGCCAUAGGAGGAAUCAGUGCGGAAAAACGAGUCGGGGGUAUGAAAUUUACCUCGAUCGGCGGUCGGAAAUUUCCCCGGUGCGGCGGCGAGUGGCGGCGGGUGGCGGCGGUCGGCCUCUGGUUCGUCUUCUCCGGCGAGCGGCUGGCGGCUAGGGUUUGUGGUCUGGUGUGGGGGUUCUAUUUAUAACCCCUUGCCUUUUGAUCACAGCCGUUCAUUUUGUUUUAAUCUGGGCCGUUCGUUUUUGAUUGAAUUUGGGCCGUCCGUGCGAUUGAAUUUGGGCCGUCCGAUCGCGUGAUUGAUUUGGGCCGUCGGAUCGCACCCACGCGGAUCGCCAACGUGGCUCCUUUCGGAGUGACGCGAUCUUGCCACGUGGCAGGCACUGGUUGGCCGGGACUGCUGACGUGGCUGCUGACGCGGCUGCUGACGUGGCCCCCCCUUUUUUUUUUUUUUUUUUUUUUUUUUUUUUUUUUUUUUUUUUUUUUUUUUUUUUUCUUCCCCUCCUCCUUUCCGGGUGCUA